AGAUCCCUGCUGUGUUUGUUAGUAGUCUAAAUAUAAUGAACCUUAACAUGUAUAUCGGGAAGCUAAGCUUCUGAAAUAUCCGUGGAUAUUUCAGAGACGUACCCACUUGGGAACAGGUUCUCCUUAUACUAGGCUCGACGGCACCGCGGGGAUUUU
rnacentral:other from 1 species